rnacentral:rRNA from 1 species
AACGAACGCUGGCAGCGUGGAUUAGGCAUGCAAGUCGAACGAGAAGCCGCAGCUUCAAGUUUUCGGACAAGAAAUUGCGGUGGACAGUGGCGAAAGGGUGAGUAACGCGUGGGCAAUCUACCCCUGGAUUGGGGACAACCUCGGGAAACUGGGGCUAAUACCGAAUAUGGUCUCUUGUCGCAUGGCAGGAAGAUUAAAGACGGGGAUUCUUCGGAACCUGUCGUCUGGGGAGGAGCCCGCGUACGAUCAGCUUGUUGGUGAGGUAACGGCUCACCAAGGCUGCGACCGUUAGCCGGCCUGAGAGGGUGAUCGGCCACACUGGGACUGAGACACUGCCCAGACUCCUACGGGAGGCUGCAGUCGAGGAUCAUUCGCAAUGCGCGAAAGCGUGACGAUGCGACGCUGCGUGUAGGAUGACGGCCUUCGGGUUGUAAACUACUGUCAUGAGGGAAGAACGACACGGACGAUAAUACCGUCCGUGUGUGACGGUACCUCAAGAGGAAGCCACGGCUAACUCUGUGCCAGCCGCCGCCGUAACAC